UACGUAGGGGCCUAGCGUUGUCCGGAUUUAUUGGGCGUAAAGAGCUCGUAGGCGGUUUGGUUAGUCAGGUGUGAAAUCUCCACGCUCAACGUGGAGGAGCCACCUGAUACUGCCAUGACUUGAGUCCGGUAGGGGAGUGUGGAAUUCCCGGUGUAGCGGUGAAAUGCGCAGAUAUCAGGAAGAACACCCGUGGCGAAGGCGGCUCUCUGGGACGGUACUGACGGCUGAGACGCGAAAGCGUGGGGAGCGAACAGG
rnacentral:rRNA from 1 species